CAGAUUGCAAACUGAAUAACUUUUAAACUGCAUGUCAAAUUGUAAUUUCACUCUUAUUUACAAUUAUACGAUUAAUUUCAUAUUAAAAUUUGAUUAGCUAAUUUUAAAGGCAUAGCACAGAUUGUAGGGGCCAUUCUGGAAUCUUCUAGGUAAGACCCCAUAUCAUUUAUGAAAAUGAAGAACCAUUCUGUGUUCUGGAGCCAUCAUUAUAUUUGCAAAUCAAACUAUGAAGUAGGUGAGAUCUGAUUUCUUACUUUCAUCUGCAGAUCUACAUUUGUGGUCUUUAAUGUUUUAGUGCUGUGUAUGGUACGUGAAUUGGAACUUUAAAGAUUUUCAGCCUGAUGCACUAUCCCUCAAUUAAACAAAACAAAAAACAAUAGAGGGACAGGCAACCUUCGACACCCCAGAUGUUGUGGAUUACAUCUACUGUGAUGCUUAGCCAACAUUGUGGCUGUAAGAGCAUUAUGGGAGAUGAAGUCCAAAACAUCUGGGGUGCCAAAGGUUGCCUACCCCUGCACUAGAUCAUAAAGUGCAUUAUGAGAGAUCAGCACCACUGCAUGCACCGAUCUUUAUUCCCUGUUGGUUGUACAAUCACAUCUUUGGAGGCAGCUCAUGCUAUAGAGGUUUUAAUGAUCUCAACCAUGCCAAGUGGGAGAUUGUGACAGCUAACACAAUUGAACAGCACAUGUAAUGUGUUUGGAUAUUUAAAAAUAUACCCCACUAUUUGAAAGGUUCCUUUAUAGAUCAAUAAUGCUUACACAAGUUGUUAUGAAAUAAAAAAUUACAUUUUCAACUAAUUUGCCAAAAACUAUCUAGCUUUCAGGAUUUGACUUGAGAAUUGAAUGUGCUGCCAGUCUCUUAGAGUUUGUCUGACACCCACAAUCUCUGCCCCUCCCUAUAAUACUUGAUAUAAUAUUCAUUUUAUUCAUAUU